rnacentral:rRNA from 1 species
AACGAACGCUGGCGGCAGGCUUAACACAUGCAAGUCGAACGCGUGUAGCAAUACACGAGUGGCGCACGGGUGAGUAACGCGUGGAUAUCUGCCUUUUGGUUCGGAAUAACCCCGGGAAACUGGGGCUAAUACCGGAUGGUUCCUUCGGGAUAAAGAUUUAUCGCCAAAAGAUGAGUCCGCGUACGAUUAGCUAGUUGGUGAGGUAAUGGCUCACCAAGGCGACGAUCGUUAGCUGGUCUGAGAGGACGAUCAGCCACACUGGGACUGAGACACGGCCCAGACUCCUACGGGAGGCAGCAGUGGGGAAUAUUGGACAAUGGGGGCAACCCUGAUCCAGCCAUGCCGCGUGAGUGAUGAAGGCCUUCGGGUUGUAAAGCUCUUUUGGCGGGGACGAUGAUGACGGUACCCGCAGAACAAGCCCCGACUAACUUCGUGCCAGCCGCCGCCGUAAUAC